rnacentral:rRNA from 1 species
AACGAACGCUGGCGGCAUGCCUAACACAUGCAAGUCGAACGAGACCUUCGGGUCUAGUGGCGCACGGGUGCGUAACGCGUGGGAACCUGCCCUUAGGUUCGGAAUAACUCCCCGAAAGGGGUGCUAAUACCGGAUCAUGUCUUCGGACCAAAGAUUUAUCGCCUUUGGAUGGGCCCGCGUUGGAUUAGCUAGUUGGUAGGGUAAUAGCCUACCAAGGCGACGAUCCAUAGCUGGUCUGAGAGGAUGAUCAGCCACACUGGGACUGAGACACGGCCCAGACUCCUACGGGAGGCAGCAGUGGGGAAUAUUGGACAAUGGGCGAAAGCCUGAUCCAGCAAUGCCGCGUGAGUGAUGAAGGCCUUAGGGUUGUAAAGCUCUUUUACCCGGGAUGAUAAUGACAGUACCGGGAGAAUAAGCUCCGGCUAACUCCGUG